rnacentral:rRNA from 1 species
UGGUUAAGAAACAAAGGGCGCACGGUGAAUGCCUUGGCACUAGGAGCCGAAGAAGGACGUGACGAACGACGAAAUGCUUUGGGGAGCUGUAAGUGAGCUAAGAUCCAGAGAUAUCCGAAUGGGGGAACCCGGCUAGCGUAAUGGCUAGUCACACCUAAGGGUGAGGUAGACGCAGAGAACUGAAACAUCUAAGUACCUGCAGGAAGAGAAAGAAAAAUCGAUUCCCUGAGUAGCGGCGAGCGAAACGGGAAGAGCCCAAACCAGUGUGCAUGCACACUGGGGUUGUAGGACUCUAACGUGGACUCAAAUGAGUUAGUAGAAGCUGGUGGGAAACAGCGCCAAAGAGGGUGAGAGCCCCGUAUGCGAAAACUGAUUUGUACCUAAGAGUAUCCUGAGUACGGCGGAACACGUGGAAUUCCGUCGGAAUCCGCCAGGACCAUCUGGCAAGGCUAAAUACUCCCUAGUGACCGAUAGUGAACCAGUACCGUGAGGGAAAGGUGAAAAGCACCCCGGGAGGGGAGUGAAAGAGUACCUGAAACCGUGUGCUUACAAGUAGUCAGAGCCCGUUAAGGGGUGAUGGCGUACCUUUUGUAGAAUGGACCGGCGAGUGACGAUAGUUGGCGAGGUUAAGUUGAAGAAACGGAGCCGUAGCGAAAGCGAGUCUGAAUAGGGCGAAAGUCAGGUGUCGUCGACCCGAAACCAAGUGACCUACCCAUGUGCAGGUUGAAGGUGCGGUAAGACGCACUGGAGGACCGAACCAGGACACGUUGAAAAGUGUUUGGAUGACGUGUGGGUAGCGGAGAAAUUCCAAUCGAACUUGGAGAUAGCUGGUUCUCUCCGAAAUAGCUUUAGGGCUAGCCUCAGAGUAAGAGUCAUGGAGGUAGAGCACUGUUUGGACUAGGGGGGCUCACGCUUUACCGAAUCCAGAUAAACUCCGAAUGCCAAGGACUCAUCUCUGGGAGUCAGACUGCGAGUGAUAAGAUCCGUAGUCGAAAGGGAAACAGCCCAGACCACCAGCUAAGGUCCCAAAGUAACUGUUAAGUGGAAAAGGAUGUGGAGUUGCAUAGACAACUAGGAUGUUGGCUUAGAAGCAGCCACCAUUCAAAGAGUGCGUAAUAGCUCACUAGUCGAGUGACUCCGCGCCGAAAAUGUACCGGGGCUAAACAGUACACCGAAGCUGUGGAUUCAAUUUUAAAAUUGAGUGGUAGGAGAGCGUUCUAAGGGCGGUGAAGGCAUACCGAAAGGAGUGUUGGAGCGCUUAGAAGUGAGAAUGCCGGUAUGAGUAGCGAAAGACGGGUGAGAAUCCCGUCCACCGAUAGACUAAGGUUUCCUGGGGAAGGCUCGUCCGCCCAGGGUUAGUCGGGACCUAAGCCGAGGCCGACAGGCGUAGGCGAUGGACAACAGGUAGAGAUUCCUGUACUUGUUAACAAUGUUUGAGCGAUGGAGGGACGCAGGAGGCGACGCCACGCAGACGGAUGGAAGUGUCUGUAGAAGCACGAAGUGGUGGUAUGAGUCAAAUGCUUAUACCUAUAACCGUGACGUGUGACCUGGAGCGAAAUUUAAGUAGCGAAGGUGGCUAAUCAAACUGCCGAGAAAAGCUUCUAGUGAGUUGUUAACAACCCGUACCGCAAACCGACACAGGUAGUCAAGUGGAGAACACUAAGGUGAGCGAGAGAACUCUCGUUAAGGAACUCGGCAAAAUGACCCCGUAACUUCGGGAGAAGGGGUGCUGACAGCGAUGUCAGCCGCAGUGAAUAGGCCCAGGCGACUGUUUAUCAAAAACACAGGUCUCUGCAAAAUCGAAAGAUGACGUAUAGGGGCUGACGCCUGCCCGGUGCUGGAAGGUUAAGAGGAGUGCUUAGGAGCAAUCCGAAGGUACGAAUUGAAGCCCCAGUAAACGGCGGCCGUAACUAUAACGGUCCUAAGGUAGCGAAAUUCCUUGUCGGGUAAGUUCCGACCCGCACGAAAGGCGUAACGAUCUGGGCACUGUCUCAACGAGAGACUCGGUGAAAUUAUAGUACCUGUGAAGAUGCAGGUUACCCGCGACAGGACGGAAAGACCCCAUGGAGCUUUACUGUAGCUUGAUAUUGAGUGUUUGUAUGGCAUGUACAGGAUAGGUAGGAGCUGAAGAAGUGUGGACGCCAGUCUACACGGAGGCGCUGGUGGGAUACUACCCUUGUGAUGCGGACCCUCUAACCCACGUGUAACAGCACGGGAGACAGUGUCAGGUGGGCAGUUUGACUGGGGCGGUCGCCUCCUAAAGAGUAACGGAGGCGCCCAAAGGUUCCCUCAGAAUGGUUGGAAAUCAUUCGCAGAGUGUAAAGGCAGAAGGGAGCUUGACUGCGAGACCUACAAGUCGAGCAGGGACGAAAGUCGGGCUUAGUGAUCCGGUGGUACCGUAUGGAAGGGCCAUCGCUCAACGGAUAAAAGCUACCCUGGGGAUAACAGGCUUAUCUCCCCCAAGAGUUCACAUCGACGGGGAGGUUUGGCACCUCGAUGUCGGCUCAUCGCAUCCUGGGGCUGAAGUCGGUCCCAAGGGUUGGGCUGUUCGCCCAUUAAAGCGGUACGCGAGCUGGGUUCAGAACGUCGUGAGACAGUUCGGUCCCUAUCCGUCGCGGGCGUAGGAAAUUUGAGAAGAGCUAUCCUUAGUACGAGAGGACCGGGAUGGACGCACCGCUGGUGUACCAGUUGUUCUGCCAAGGGCAUCGCUGGGUAGCUAUGUGCGGGAUGGAUAAGCGCUGAAAGCAUCUAAGCGUGAAGCCAGCUUCAAGAUGAGAUUUCCCAUUCGAAAGAAGUAAGACCCCUGAGAGACGAUCAGGUAGAUAGGCUAGAAGUGGAAGUGGAGUGAUCCAUGGAGCGGACUAGUACUAAUCGGUCGAGGUCUUAACCACAA